rnacentral:lncRNA from 1 species
UUGUUUACCCUCCGUUGGAGAACGAUGUGUAUUCCAGUUCUUUAUGUCCCGUGUUUGUUCAGGCUAGCAGAGUUCUGGUAGUUUCCAAAAAAUCUUUGAAGAGCAAAAACGUAAAGCUAGUAUUUCGUCCUUGGGUUAUGAUGACCACGUGCUAAAUAGAGCCUUAAAUAAAUGCAGCUUCAGUUAAUAAAGACUCACAAGUGACAUUGGCUCAUUUGGGCCCAAUUGCAUAAGCAAAUUUUUAGACUUAAUAAAAAAAAAGUAAUUGCGCAAGUGGUGGCAGAGUGCUGUGAAAUGUCCACUUUUUCACUCCUCUCUCAGGGCCACACUGCUCCCCCAAAUCAGUUGUAAGUCCUUCCAGACCUUGUAAAUGUAGGCUGUUUUCAUCUUAAUUUAUGUACAUACACAUCUAAUUUUUAAAACUCCAAAAUUAUAUUUUUAGUUUUUUAGUACAUUGCUAAUAAUAUUUCUGAGCCAUUCUUUCCUAUCAUUAAUUAUGGAUCUACCUCAUUCUUUCUUUUUUUUUUUUCUUUAGCUGUAUGGUAUUCAUAGUAUGAAAAUAUAUCUAAAUAAUAGUUUAUCGAUAGACAUUUAGGUUGUUUCCAAUUAUCUGCUAUAAUAAGUAAUGCUGCAAUGAGUAUAAUAAUUUCUAAAAGUGGAGUCAUUCAUUUUAAGAGUUGCUGCUAAAGUUUUCUUUAAAAGACUCUUAGGAUUUGCAUGUCAAAUUAAAGGCACUUUUUUGCAUCUUGAAGAGAAGUUUUACAUGGAGGCAAGAGUUCAAGGUGUUGGUUCUUCCUGAAAUUUAGCUCUAAGAAGCCUUUUUUUUUUUUUCACCCCCAGCAGUUGCUUGACCUGUGCAAUUGGGUCGAAGCUAGACCAAAUUAAAUCUUACUUAUGUAGAAACUUGGUCUCCAUGACCUUGCAUUUAUCUAGGGAGUGAUUUAUUGGUGUAGGCUGCAGUCCAGCUAUGAAUGACUCUGAUGGGAGAACAUACUUAUCCCUCCAUCUAUAGAAGCUGAAUUAGGCUUACUGGGAUUAACUGAGACUGAAGGAGUUGUUCAUCUACUUUAAUUAUCCUUCCAAUGGGAGCUUUUUCCCAGACUGGAUUUUGGAUCAGGAGAAGAAUGGAGGCUAGAGGGAGUGACAGAACAGCUUGGUUAAGAUCUUAUAGAAAGGCACUUAUAAGGGAAGGCUGUAGCCUAAUGUAGGUAGAUAAGAUUUUAUUUUAUUUCAAGGGAAAGGCCGUAUAUUAAAAAAAAAAAUGCAUCUUAUAAACUUUGAGUAAUUUGGCUUGCUCACGAAAUUAUUUUUCCGAGGAAUCAUAUUAAAAGUCAGAACAAAGAAAGGAAUGGUUUUCCUUGCUGCAAAACAAACCAGGCUGUCCCAUAAUGAAACUUACAGCCAUCAAGCCAAAGUUAACAAAAGGAUGAAGGCUAGGACAGUUGAGGGAACUGGAGAGCUGAAGACAAAGGCUGGACAAAAUGGCCCUGGAGCUAUCAUUGUGUUCUCUGCUUCCCUCUAGUGGCCAUGUGAGGGAGCUGGGUGUAAACACGUCUCAAGGUCAUCCUUACAUAACCAGACUGCAGAAGAGAGAAAGGUUGGCAUUAUUAGGUAGUCCUUAAAACUGCCCAUUUUGUCAAUACCCUGAUGAGUGAUGAGGGAACAGAUGUUUUGUAUAGAAAACAGAGAACAGCCCAGCACGUACUGCUGUGCGGCUACUUAAUGGUAGAAAGGAAAUAUGGGAUACAGGACAUUCCUUACAUUUGAUUCAGUGUGACAUAUGUAUACACAGCUUUGACUUUGUGUGCAGCCAGAUUUUGUGUGCAGCAUUGAAGAUACAAGGAGUAAUUAAACACAACCCCUGUCCUUGGGGAGAUCACGGUGCAGAGGGCAGGGCCCAAACAAAUAGCGAGUGAGUCUAGGAACAGUGAUAUAAGAGGCAUUUGACAAGACAUUUGUUCUUGAUAGUAUUUCUCAACCUAGAACAAGAUUACUCACUGAGCAUUUCCAUUUGUUCCAAAAAGGGACAACGUUUUCUUGUUCUCUAUAGAGGUGAUGGUACAGGGAAUGGAUAAAGUUCUCCUUUCUUCUCUUUUUUUUUUUGUAAAACACUGAAUUUGGACUGCUGAGGUGGCACAACUAUGACAGCUCAAAGUUUCAGGGUUGGUUUGAAGAUGAAAGCCAACCUGUGUACAUGAGUUCUUUAUUCCUUUGCUAAAUAAAUUCCUCUGUGAACGACGGGAAAUAAAAAGCUCUACCGGGGGAGGCAGCACCAUCAAAGACGGCCACUCCUUCCCCCCCACCCCCAUCUGUGUAGAGCUGUACCUAGCGCUCCGCUCUUAGCUCCUUAGGGAAACCUUUUCUAGACUCCUCCCCAUCAUCCAAACUUCUUUAGGAAGUUUCUUUAUUUAGAGAUACGUAGGCCUUGCUAAGGGCCAGAUUUUGUGCGAAGCAUUGAAGAUACAGGGAGGGGUCGGAUAUGACCUCUGUCCCCGUGUAGAGGACAGGGUUCAAACAAACAGCAAGUUAGACUAGGAAGAGUGUUAUCAGAGGCAUUCGACAAGACAUCUUUCCCAAGUACUUUGCCAGCAGCUUUUAUGAACUGCAUCAUUGAGAACUAAUUUUCCAGGAGUUCCCGUCGUAGUUCAGUGGUUAACGAACCCGACUAGGAACCAUGAGGUUGCGGGUUUGAUCCCUGGCCUCGCUCCGUGGGUUAAGGAUCCGGUGUGGCUGUGAGCUGUGGUGUAGGUCCCAGGCGUAGCUUGGAUCUGGUGUUGCUGUGGCUACGGUGUAGGCCUGUGGCUACAGUUCGGAUUCGACCCCUCGCCUGGGAACCUCCAUAUGCUGCGGGUGCAGCUCCAGAAAGACAAAAAAACCCAAAUCAAACAAACAAACAAAAUUUUCCAUUCUUUGCCUUAACUAAGAAGCCAGAGAGGGCCUAAGGAAGCGAGGGGAAUGAAAGGGGUGGGGAUUCCACCUUUAGUGUUUAGAAGUAACACAAAUGUAAUAUGUGCGGAUUAGGGAAGCUACCCUUCCCUUAAUCUGGAACUUAUUAGAAGAUCAAGGACUCGUGGUUAUUUUGUUUUUGUCUGGCUAGUAUCCAUUCGCUUGUUUUCCUCUAUCCCCACUGGAUUUUAGGUGGACAGCCACCCUCCCACCCCUCUCUUUCUCCAUGGCUUUAGAGUUCAGAUCUCUCCUGCGUGUAAACCAUGACUGUCCACUCCGAGUUUGACAUCCUCAGGCUACUAUGGUAAGUUCAGGGAAGGGCACAAGGCCUGGGCUGGACCCAUCAGGGCAAAUGGACUCCAUGCUGGGACUUCUGUUGAAGCUAUUGGGGGAAAGCAUACUUUCUCUUGUGUGAGAGUCAAGAAGCUGAGAUAUAGGCCAGCAUCUCUUGCCAUCUCACCACCACGAAGGGGGAUAUUAUCUAAGAUUUCAGCCAUUCUAGACGAGAGAAGAGAAAUCGGUGCUGGCAUCCUCAUGACGUUGUGUGAACACCUGGAUCCAGUCCUUUUUGAAGCUUCCUAUAUCCGUGAACUUUUCAGUUAUCUGAGCUAAUCUCUUUAUUUUUGGCUCUUGCUCAAGCCACUGGUUCUCAGAGCUUGUUAACAUACAGAUCGCUGAAGGUCUCUUUGCGGCUCAGCGGUGUAAGAACUGACUAGCAUCCAUGAGGAUAUGGGUCAGGAACCCUGGCCUUGCUCAGUGGGUUGAGGGAUCUGGCAUUGCUGCAAGCUAUGGCGUAGGUGGCAGAUGCAGCUAGGAUCUGGUAUUGCUGUGGCCGUGGUGUAGGUUGGCGGCUAAGGCUCUGAUGCUACUCAUGGCCUGGGAACCUCCACGUGCCAACAGUGUGGCCCUAAAAAAGACAAAAAAAAAAAAAAAA